AUGGCAUCCAUGCCUAAUACGACUGUGCUGGCAACUUCACUGGAGGGCAUGAAAACCCAUGGCGAGGUAUUUAAGAUGAAGCUGCUCAUGUACUUGAUCUCAGCUGUCUUUGCGCCUACCACAUCUCUUCGCCCAAGCAACAAGUGCUUCCCUAUCCUGGCAAAGCUGAAAGACGUUAAGAACAUGAAUUGGUGUAAAUUCAUCGCGGACUUCCUACAUGAUGCAUUCUCAAAUAAGAUGUGCCAAAAGGGCUGUCGCUUGCACCUAAUGCUCAUGUACGUCGAUCGUCUUGAUUUGUCAACUGUCGACUUUACUGAGAUAGGAGGCCCGCCGCAUCCACAUAAGUUUGUUGUCUCUGCGUGGAGGUAUGAUGCUGUCAAGGCUGUGCUUGCCGUAGACAGGAUAUCUGAUACAAAAUAUGGGAAACUGUAG
rnacentral:rRNA from 1 species